GAGAAAUGUGUAGGUGGAACAGUAUAAGACCUGGUGAUGUGUCUUGGAUAUAUCGAUGUAGUAGAUGCGUAUGCAUAGAUAGAAGACAACAGAGUCAUAAGGAUGUAACGCGACAUGGGUUUUGAGGCUGAUACGACAAACUCCCACUAA